rnacentral:piRNA from 1 species
UACUCCUGGUAGAAUGCAGUGAGUAG